rnacentral:rRNA from 1 species
UACGUAGGGUGCGAGCGUUGUCCGGCAUUAUUGGGCGGAAAGAGCUUGUAGGCGGUUUGUCGCGUCUGCUGUGAAAAUCCGGGGCUCAACCCCGGACUUGCAGUGGGUACGGGCAGACUAGAGUGUGGUAGGGGAGACUGGAAUUCCUGGUGUAGCGGUGAAAUGCGCAGAUAUCAGGAGGAACACCGAUGGCGAAGGCAGGUCUCUGGGCCACUACUGACGCUGAGAAGCGAAAGCAUGGGGAGCGAACAGG